rnacentral:misc_RNA from 1 species
CGUGCAGUGGCCGGAGGAGUUCCCCUUCAAGGACGAGGACUUCAGCCGCUUCGAUGAAUCGCCGGAUACAUCGUUCUAUUCGGAGCCGAGAUUUGUCACGCAUAUCGACGAUCCUGCGAUUGCUGCGCUCACUAAGUACUAUGCGGAGGUUUUUCCACCGAGUAAUAGUCCGGGUGUGUGUAUGUUGGAUUUGUGUAGCAG